CAGACGUAGUUCAAUGGUAGAACUUCAGCCUUCCAAGCUGAUCACGCGGGUUCGAUUCCCGUCGUCUG
rnacentral:tRNA from 2 species